rnacentral:rRNA from 1 species
AGAGUUUGAUCCUGGCUCAGGAUGAACGCUAGCGGCAGGCUUAAUACAUGCAAGUCGAGGGGUAACAUGGUAGCAAUACUGAUGACGACCGGCAAACGGGUGCGGAACACGUACAGAACCUUCCUUUAAGCGGGGGAUAGCCCAUAGAAAUGUGGAUUAAUACCCCAUAGUAUUAUUUGUUGGCAUCAACGGAUAAUUAAAGAUUUAUCACUUAAAGAUGGCUGUGCGGCUGAUUAGGUAGUUGGUUGAGGUAAUGGCUCACCAAGCCAUCGAUCAGUAACUGGUGUGAGAGCACGACCAGUCACACGGGCACUGAGACACGGGCCCGACUCCUACGGGAGGCAGCAGUAAGGAAUAUUGGUCAAUGGAGGCAACUCUGAACCAGCCAUGCCGCGUGAAGGAUGAAGGCCAUCUGGGUUGUAAACUUCUUUUAUCUGGGAAGAGAUGCUUGUUUUUUAAUGAGUUUGACGGUACCAGAGCGAAUAAGCACCGGCUAACUCCGUGCCAGCAGCCGCGGUAAUACGGAGGGUGCAAGCGUUAUCCGGAUUCACUGGGUUUAAAGGGUGCGUAGGUGGGAAUGUAAGUAAGUGGUGAAAUNUUUGAGCUUAACUCAGAAACUGCCAUUGAUACUAUGUUUCUUGAAUUUUCUGGAGGUUAGCCGAAUAUGUCAUGUACCGGUGAAAUGCUUANAUAUCACUUUUAANAACCAAUUUGCAAAGGCAGGCUGUCUAACUGGG